rnacentral:lncRNA from 10 species
AGAAGCAGGAAGAGAGCCGGACGGAAGACACCUACCCUGGCUGGCAGACACCCCUGAAGAUGGAGAAAGAGGCCUUCCAGAAGACAGAAGGUUAAAUUGAAGAAGCUGAAAUGCACCUCUGGCUCAGGUGAGAGAAGGGAAAGGAAUUAAGACAACUCAAAGAGUGGCUCAUGGACCAGCAGCACCUGCAUCCGUGAGAGCUUGUGGAGCCACAAUCUGCUUUUUAACACAAUGCCCAGGUGAUUCUUUGCAUAAGAUUAAUGUUUUGAGAAGCACAGCACUCUUGCAUCUUAGCACUUAUUGCCCUUAAUUGCCCUCCCGUAAGUGUGGGAGUCAGCCUAUGGAGUCUGUUUUGCACUCUGGCUCUCCAUUCCAUUAUUAAUGACAGAGCCAUUCAGGUGUCCCUGUUGGUACAGUGACACAAGUGACCAACGCUGAGUUCCACAGAAACUAUCAUGGAACAGGCUGGUUCUUUUUGUCAGUGUUGGGGCCACCAUCU